UACAGAGGGUGCGAGCGUUGUCCGGAGUUACUGGGCGUAAAGGGUGUGUAGGCGGGCUGUUAAGUCAGUGGUGAAAUCUCCGGGCUCAACCCGGAAACUGCCAUUGAUACUAAUGGUCUUGAAUUUUGUUGAGGUAGGCGGAAUAAGUCAUGUAGCGGUGAAAUGCAUAGAUAUGACUUAGAACACCAAUUGCGAAGGCAGCUUGCUAAACAAAUAUUGACGCUGAGGCACGAAAGCGUGGGGAUCAAACAGG
rnacentral:rRNA from 1 species